rnacentral:rRNA from 1 species
GACGAACGCUGGCGGCGUGCUUAACACAUGCAAGUCGUACGGUAAGGCCCUCUAGGGGGUACACGAGUGGCGACCGGGUGAUAAACACGUGCGUAAUCUGCCCACAACUUUGGGAUAACGCUAGGAAACUGGUGCUAAUACUGUAUAUGUUCUCCUGCUGCAUGGUGGGGGUUGGAAAGCUCCGGCGGUUGUGGCUGGACUCGCGGCCUAUCAGCUUGUUGGUGGGGUAGUGGCCUACCAAGGCGGCGACGGGUAGCCGGCCUGAGAGGGUGACCGGCCACAUUGGGACUGAGAUACGGCCCAGACUGCUACGGGAGGCAGCAGUGGGGAAUAUUGCACAAUGGGCGCAAGCCUGAUGCAGCAACGCCGCGUGCGGGAGGACGGCCUUCGGGUUGGAAACCGCUUUCAGCAGGGACGAAGCGUUUUGUGACGGUACCUGCAGAAGAAGCACCGGCUAACUACGUG